rnacentral:tRNA from 1 species
GGCCGGUUAGCUCAGUCGGUUAGAGCGUGGUGCUGGUAACACCAAGGCUGUGGGUUCGAUCCCCACUCGGUCC